UGGGUAACCCACCUCGAUGAUUGGGACAACCCGGGGAAACUCGGGCUAAUACCAAAUGUGCUCGUAGACCAUGAGGUCCAUGAGUAAAGAUAGCUUCGGCCUUCGCAUCGAGACGGGCCCGCGGCCCAUUAGCUUGUUGGUGAGGUAACGGCUCACCAAGGCGACGAUGGGUAGCUGGUCUGAGAGGACGAUCAGCCACACUGGGACUGAGACACGGCCCAGACUCCGUAGGGACGG
rnacentral:rRNA from 1 species